UUGCACCGGCAAAUCUAUACGACCAGCUCCUGUUGAACCCCCCCAGGUCCGGAAGGAAGCAAGGGUAGACGGUAGAGCGGUGCGAUAUACGAUUUGCCAUUU
rfam:Sporocytophaga myxococcoides DNA, contig: Contig48_04, strain: PG-01.